GACUAAUGAUGAGGGAAAUUUUUUAUCAUACCUUUAAAUCUCUCCCAAGCUUGGUAGAGAUUCUCUCCUUCUUUUUGUCUGAAACUCAAGAUCUCGCUUCUAAAAC
rfam:Capsicum annuum cultivar Zunla-1 chromosome 4, whole genome shotgun sequence